rfam:Callithrix jacchus chromosome 18, whole genome shotgun sequence
GUAUUGGUGGUUCAGUGGUAGAAUUCUUGCCUCCCACCCAGGAGACCCUGGUUCAAUUCCUAGCCAGUGCA